CCGGGAGUGAGAACUUUGCUUUAGAAAAGGCCUUUUGUAUGGGUUCCUUCGAUUCUUGUCUACACCGUUAAAAACCUUGCGCAGAGCUAGUCGAUCCCUUAGAGUGAAUCAAUUUUGCAGUGUUGUUAAUCUGUUUUCGACAUUGCAAAUUGAAUUGGCCAGGAAGCUAGUUUAGAUGGAGCUGAUAUGGAGGUUGUCUCUUCAUUGCUGCAAGCGUGUAAUGCUUUGUGAUGGAAUGCUCUCUUGUACUAUGACACAGUGUUAUUUGUGAUGGAAUCCUUUCUUGUAAUAAAUAUUUUGCUACAGUAUUA